rnacentral:rRNA from 1 species
UGGGGAAUAUUGGACAAUGGGCGCAAGCCUGAUCCAGCCAUGCCGCGUGAGUGAAGAAGGCCUUAGGGUUGUAAAGCUCUUUCAGUCGUGACGAUGAUGACGGUAGCGACAGAAGAAGCCCCGGCUAACUCCGUGCCAGCAGCCGCGGUAAUACGGAGGGGGCAAGCGUUGUUCGGAUUUACUGGGCGUAAAGGGCGCGUAGGCGGGGUAUCCAGUUAGGGGUGAAAGCCCGGGGCUCAACCUCGGAACUGCCUUUAAAACUGAUACUCUAGAGUGCGGAGGAGGGUCGGGGUAUGGUCAGUGUAGAGGAGAACCUCGUAGCUGUUGGGAAGAAGAGCGGUGGCGAAGGCGGCGAGCCGGUGCGGUAUUGACGCUGCGGGGCUAAAGCGUGGGUCGCAACCAGGAUUAGACGCCCGCGAAGGCC